AGAAUGAGAAGACAUGGCAUGGUAUUGACUUGGCUCAUCUCUCAGCGACAGCAAACUGCACGAGCGCGAGAGGUGAGCCGAGCCAAUAUCACUUCAUGUCUUCUAGUGU
rnacentral:pre_miRNA from 1 species